GAAGCGGUGACGUGGAGCAAACCUCAGAAAGCCAAUCUCAGUUCGGAUUGUAGGCUGCAACUCGCCUACAUGAAGUUGGAAUCGCUAGUAAUCGCGAAUCAGAAUGUCGCGGUGAAUACGCUCCCGGGUCUUGUACACACCGCCCGUCACACCACGAGAGUUUACAACACCCGAAGUCAGUGGCCUAACCGCAAGGAGGGAGCUGCCUAAGGUGGGGUAGAUGAUUGGGGUGAAGUCGUAACAAGGUAGC
rnacentral:rRNA from 1 species